GACGAACGCUGGCGGCGUGCCUAAUACAUGCAAGUCGAACGCAGUGGGGACGGGUGAGUAACACGUGGGUAACCUCCCAUCAGAGGGGAUAACACUUGGAAACAGGUGCUAAACCGAUACUGAUGGAUGGACCCGGGGGGCAUUAGCUAGUUGGUGGGGUAACGGCCAACCAAGGCCACGAUGCAUAGCCGACCGGGGAGGGUGAUCGGCCACACUGGGACUGGGACACGGCCCAGACUCCUACGGGAGGCAGCAGUAGGGAAUCUUCGGCAAUGGACGAAAGUCUGACCGAGCAACGCCGCGUGUGUGAAGAAGGUUUUCGGAUCGUAAAGCUCUGUUGUUAGAGAAGCGGUAUCUGACGAGAAAGCAACGGCUAACUACGUGCCAGCAGCCGCGGUAAUAC
rnacentral:rRNA from 1 species